rnacentral:rRNA from 1 species
GAUGAACGCUGGCGGCGUGCCUAAUACAUGCAAGUAGAACGCUGAAGGAGGAGCUUGCUCUUCUGGAUGAGUUGCGAACGGGUGAGUAACGCGUAGGUAACCUGCCUGGUAGCGGGGGAUAACUAUUGGAAACGAUAGCUAAUACCGCAUGACAACAGUUAUUGCAUGAUAACUGUUUAAAAGGGGCAACUGCUCCACUACCAGAUGGACCUGCGUUGUAUUAGCUAGUUGGUGAGGUAACGGCUCACCAAGGCGACGAUACAUAGCCGACCUGAGAGGGGGACCGCCCACACGGGACUGGGACACCGGCCAAGACUCCUCCGGGGGCAGCAGUAGGGGAUCUUCGGCAAUGGGCGGAAGUCUGACCGAGCAACGCCGGGUGAGUGAAGAAGGGUUUCGGGUCGUAAAGCUCUGUUGUAAGGGAAGAAAGAGUGUGGGAGUGGAAAGUUCACGCUGUGACGGUAUCUUACCAGAAAGCGACGGCUAACUACGUG